rnacentral:lncRNA from 1 species
CUGGAGAGUUUGCGCUUCAGAAUUUGUUUUGGAGGGAGACAAAAGACGAAAGAGAGGAACAUGCGCCUUGGCGGGAACCUUUUUUGAGGGGAUGGCGGGAACUCCUGUCCCACGCGGGAUAGUGAGCAAACGCUCGUUGGACUGCGGCCCAUUAUAGCUCGGUGCGUUUUGCCAGCGUUUUCUUUCAGUUAAGGUAUUUUAGCUCUUUCUCAAAAAAAAAGGUAUUUUAGCUGGACUUCGCUAUUUCAGACUGUUUUUUAAUAAAACUAAAUAAUACCUCACACAUUGUUGCGGGAAUUGGUCGACGCAAAUUUGGAUUGAUAAAAUGAGAACAAAAAAUAAAAA